UUCCGGUUGAUCCUGCCGGAGGCUACCGCUAUUGGAGUUCGAUUAAGCCAUGCGAGUCGAGAGUCUUAGGGACUCGGCGUACCGCUCAGUAACACGUGGGUAACCUGCCCUAUGCUGGGGAAUAACCUCGGGAAACUGAGAAUAAUGCCCCAUAGUUCACUACGCCUGGAACGGUGAGUGGAUGAAAGCUCCGGCGGCAUAGGAUGGGCCUGCGGCGUAUCAGGUCGUAGGGGGUGUAACGUACCCUCUAGCCAUCGACGCGUACGGGUGUUGGGAGACAUAGCCCGGAGAUGGAUUCUGAGACACGAAUCCAGACCCUACGGGGUGCAGCAGGCGCGAAAACUUGGCAAUGCGAGAAAUCGUGACCAGGGAACUCCAAGUGGCUGGGGUAAGACCCAGUCUUUUCUUGACUCUUCAAAGGUCUUGGAAUAAGAGGUGGGUAAGGACGGUGCCAGCCGCCGCGGUAAUACCGGCGCCUCAAGUGGUAGUCGAUUUUAUUGGGCCUAAAACGUCCGUAGCCUGUUUGGUACAUUCGUGGGUAAAUCAACCAGCUCAACUGGUUGAAUUCUGCGAGCACGGCCAGACUUGGGACCGGGAGAGGUGUGGGGUACGCUCAGGGUAGGGGUAAAAUCCUGUCAUCCUGAGCGGACCACCUGUUGCGAAGGCGCCACACUAGAACGGAUCCGACGGUCAGGGACGAAGCCUAGGGGCACGAACCGGAUUAGAUACCCGGGUAGUCCUAGGUGUAAACGCUGUGGACUUGGUGUUGGGGAUUCUCAGAGGAUUCUCAGUGUCGAAGCGAAGGUGAUAAGUCCACUGCCUGGGGAGUACGGUCGCAAGGCUGAAACUUAAAGGAAUUGGCGGGGGAGCACCGCAACCUGAGGAUUGUGCGGUUUAAUUGGAUUCAACGCCGG
rnacentral:rRNA from 1 species